CCUCAGAAUAGCACUCGAGAGGUACAGCGACCAGGUGAUACACACAACAUAUUGCAGAGGGAAGAAGAUUAGAACAUUCUUGAGCGGCCACUAUGAAUUUUUGUGCCAUAUGUAUGGCCUGUCAGGAGCAUCAGGGUGCCUGGUUACUUCUGAUCAGCUCCGAGACCCACCCCAGAGUGUUCCUGCCAGAAGCACACAGAGCAUUUGUGAUGACUUUAAGAGUUUCACUGCAGCUGGAGUUUCACUGCAGCUGGAGCAGAUCUGAAGAAGGCAAAACAGCAUAAUAAUGUUGUUCGACAACCCUUCUUUCCUGGGAUACCACUCACCAAUGUAUGCCCACCUGGUCUGCACAUUUCCCUCGGGAUUUUCUACCGGCUCCUUGAGAAUGAAUGCCAUGAGAUGUGGCUAUAAUGGUGGCUAUAAUGGUGGCUAGUGAAGACUGCGCAGAGAAAGGUGGAGCGAGUUAUGGUCACUACGCACAAGCAUUGGAGAAGGUCGGUAAAUUAAAACAUAUCAGGUUGUCAGAUGAACUCACUAACCAGUCUCUUCACUCUUUCCGAGGAAGACAACCCUGAAGAGGAUCCACAAAUCGUGGAUUUGUUCAUUGAGGCAAAUGCUAUGAACAAAAAAGCAUACGUAAACACAAAAGAGUUCCACCUAGCUGAAGCUUUACGACGGGCCUUUUGUUAAGGAACUCGAUACAGCUCUGGCUUCCUUUAAUGUACGUCGGCAAGCUUACUACAGUGGAACAUUCGUUGGGAACCACGUUCAUCGAACACUGAAGGAGGAGAACACGAACACGAAAACCUUAUGCGAGUCGAUUCGUUACCUUGGCAUUCGUUUCUAGUUUCCCAGAAAGCAGCAGAAACAUCCAGGAAGUUUUCUGUUUUCAAUCUCUUUUCAAGAUGCCAUAGUAUGUACGACCAGCGCUACAUAACACCUGUUGAAGUAGAUACACUCGAGAACAACAUUGCUUCUUUCAUGAAGUAUUACCGGGAAACGUUCCCUACGGCAUCCAUCACUCCCAAACUUCACAUGCUAGAGAAGCACACAAUCCCAUGGCUGAGAGAGUGGGGUCCUGGUGUGGC